rnacentral:rRNA from 1 species
GAUGAACGCUGGCGGCGUGCUUAACACAUGCAAGUCGAACGGAAAGGCCCUGCUUUUGUGGGUUGCUCGAGUGGCGAACGGGUGAGUAACACGUGAGUAACCUGCCCUUGUCUUUGGGAUAACUUCAGGAAACUGGGGCUAAUACCGGAUAUGAGCUCCUGCUGCAUGGUGGGGGUUGGAAAGUUUCGGCUGUUGGGGAUGGACUCGCGGCUUAUCAGCUUGUUGGUGGGGUAGUGGCUUACCAAGGCUUUGACGGGUAGCCGGCCUGAGAGGGGGACCGGCCACAUUGGGACUGAGAGACGGACCAGAAUCCAACGGGAGGCAGCAGGGGGGAAUAUUGCACAAUGGGCGGAAGCCUGAUGCAGAAACGCCGCGUGCGGGAUGACGGGCUUCGGGUUGUAAACCGCUUUCGCAGGUGACGAAGCGUGAGUGACGGUAAUGGGUAAAGAAGCACCGGCUAACUACGUG